GACGAACGCUGGCGGCGUGCUUAACACAUGCAAGUCGAACGGAAAGGCCCUGCUUGCAGGGUACUCGAGUGGCGAACGGGUGAGUAACACGUGGGUGAUCUGCCCUGCACUUCGGGAUAAGCCUGGGAAACUGGGUCUAAUACCGGAUAGGAGCCACUUUUAGUGUGAUGGUUGGAAAGUUGUUUCGGUGUAGGAUGAGCGCGGGGCCUAUCAGCUUGUUGGUGGGGUAAUGGCCUACCAAGGCGGCGACGGGUAGCCGACCUGAGAGGGUGGACGGCCACAUGGGGACUGAGAUACGGCCCAGACGCCAACAGGAGGCAGCGGUGGGAAGUAUUGCACAAUGAGCGCGAGCCUGAUGCGGAGGCGCCGCGUGGGGGAUGACGGCCUUCGGGUUGUAAACUCCUUUCGCUAGAGACGAAGCCUUUGUGACGGUACCUAGAUAAGAAGCACCGGCUAACUACGUG
rnacentral:rRNA from 1 species